rnacentral:lncRNA from 1 species
CACUUUUGCCUUUUUAUGUAUUUAUUUUUUGCCCGCAGUAUCAGUUACAAGCUGACAUGACUCAUUCUCAUCAUCGGCCGUCACGUGUCAGCAGAUUUAACCGGCAACGGUAACUCAUGAGACGGACGCUCACCACAAAUGUGAGCUGGGACUGGAUCCAAAGCCACCCCCCACCUCCAGCCCUGCCUGAGCCCAGGAGAUGUUCCAGUUCCCUUAUCUUCCGUGUUUCUCCGUGCCGGACAGCUAUUUAUAAACCAUACCAUCAGCAUCGCAGAGGUGGGACACUGGAAAAUGGACUGCGGCAGGAUGAUGCCGACACUGAUAUCGUUCCUCAGCUUGUUGCCGUUCGCCGAAAUGCUCAUGGGGAAGGAUUGUUUAAUUUGCCCGAAUCCGACAGUCAGUACAAAAGAAGGAGAUGACGUUGUUCUUCAGUGUCAUGCACAUCCCAUAGUCAACUUAUCUUCCUACACAGUGGAUGUGAAGAGAACUGGCCACAAAGGUGUGGUGCAUGCAUAUCGACAUGGACACGACCAUCCUCACGACAAGAUGGAUGAGUACGUAAACAGGACGACCCUCAUCCAUGAAGACCUGAGCAAAGGGCUCGUGACACUGCGGAUCUCCUCAGUGAAGCAGUCUGACAGUGGUGCAUACAAAAUCUAUGUCCCAAAAACCAAGUGCAGUUUCAUUAUAAACAUCACUGUUGGUAAGCGUGCUGACUUUAACACUAUACAGAUCGAUAUAUAAAAUGAUGGAAUGAGUCUUCUCUCCCACAUCGAAAGCCUCUGCAGUAGCCACAGGUGUUUAUCAGCUUCAGCCCCGAUCGGCAGUGACUGAGGCACAACAUGCAUAACAUACAUGUUCAAGUUGAGGACACUGGUGUGUUAACAAUUUCCAUCCGUCUCCUGUUCAUAGUGCUUGAACAAGUGAGAGUAAAAGCUGUAUAAGAGUGAGUAGUGCAUGCUCUUUAGUAUGGCCAUUCACUUUGCUUAGCUUUGCUCUGUAAGUACAAAAUGAUACAUUGGAACAAAAUAAUGUAGACAUAAUACACAAGCAUGAUAAGAACAGUUAACGUAACAAACACUAUUGCUCACUAUUGCUUGAAUCUGACACAUAAAGCAUGUUACACCUGUUUCCAUUUCCAUUUCCAUGUGAAAUGAUCCUAAAACGGCCAUCACCACCAGAAACACACAUCCACCAGAUUAUUUCUCCUACUGACACAGACAUCAGAGACGACGAGGCGUCUCUCUUACCACCAGCUGGCCAAGAAAACAUUUUCACAGUCAGAUCUGAUGUGGAGGGUGAAGCUGGCGUGUCUCUGCUUCACCCUUCACUGACCAAAAAACACUGUCCAGAGACACAACCGCUGUGCAUGUAGAGCCUGCACAUCACGCACCAGCAACAAACACAGUGUGUACAACUGUUUUUAGAUUGGAAAAUUACACGAGACAGACUUCUCUAGUAGAUAAGUCAUGGAAAAUCAGAACUGUUUGAGUUUUCCUGUCAUUCAAAGCAGCAGAACCACUGUGGCAGAACGUCUUUGAGUUCAUUUGCUGUAUGUGACAGUGGACGUACUACCCAUCUGCACAUCGCAAUCAUCAUCAUCAUUAGUGCAAACGAGUCUAAGUGAUUGAUAAAUUACUGCAUCACCUCUGAGCCCAUCCUUCUUUUCAACUCUGUCCAAUAUUCUUUCAGGUGCUGCAAAGACAGAACCUGUCUGGAUCAUUGUCACUGGCAGUUUCAUCGGUGCUGUUCUCAUUGCUGCUGCUGUUGCUGUUUCUAUCCUGGUGAAACGAGGAAAGAUCCGUAAGUUACAAGUUGUAAAAGUACAUUUACUCAAACGCUCCACCUAAAGGCCACUGCGUAGUAGUUAAGGCAGAAAUUGUCAGAAAUGGAAUAUUAGAUUAAUAUUCACGUUUUCAGUUUCAUUAUAAUCCCCUGGAACACAGAGCAGUCCAGAUCGGACAAACCAAAAGACUGGCUGAAGAGAGGGACUUUUUCAAAGGGUGAGUCAGGGGAAUUUAUCUGCGACUUCCCCUCUAGAUGCCUUUUAAAUCCUACCCACUGGAGCUUUAUUACAUUUUUGAGGUCAUUUUCUUGGUUAAUUAUGUUUGAUCCUGCUUUGUGCAGCUUCCUCUUUAAAAAAGUAAACCAAAAGAGAAAUUGAAAAAAGCUUAGUCAGUCUUAGGGAUGACACACUGUGUAUGGAUCUUCAGAAUCAAGUGGAGAGCAAUGACAAACUACUUGUCAAAUGUGAACGGAGACUUGAGACAUCUUUACUGGAAUUAUUCAAAUCUUUAGGACACUGAUAUUUCCACACUAUUUGUAUUCCCUUUUUAAAACGACACACUUUUAUAGGCAUGGACACGGUUUUGCUGGUUUAUUUGCCAAAUCCUAUUACAGUAUAGGAGACAAGAAAACAACUUAAUGUUGUACUUCAUAGAGAUAAUAAUGGUAUAUCUUGUAGCCACGCACGAGAGAUACAGACUGGGAAUAUUGUCCUGGUGUAUAUGUGGCAGGUUGGAUGAUGAAUUAAUUACAGUCAUAUCCACAUCAGAUUUUGAUCAUUGACUUCUAAUGUCUAAUCGUAUCCAAAACAAGCACAACUAUUUAAUAUGUUCAAGCACGUGAAGAGUGUUGGAUCAUGUUAUGCACAUUGAUGCAUUGCUUUGAACGUCUGAUAAUUUAGCACUCAUUUGCCGUAAUGUCACAUCAGACAAUAUCAUUAAUACUGCGACGAUGAUGAUAUCAAGAAUGUCAUUAUACUGCCCGGCUCUAAUACUUACCUUCUUAGCCGUACACACAAACUGUCUGAAGUUGUUGUUUAGUGUUUGUCACAAACAUGUUUCCAUUUUCUCACAGCUUUAAGAAGAUGCUCCAGAUGCUCCGGAGAAGGAAGGAAGGAGGGAGAAGCAGAGACACCGUGAAGCAGUGAACUGACACCACUGCAGAAAGUGGCCUCAGAGAAGUGGCGCACUUGUGUGUGACAAACGGGGAGUAAAAGGAUUUAUAUAUAGUUUAUAUUUAGUCUGGAAUUUAUCCUAUCAUAUCAUUGUUAGUGCAUGUAGUGAAGAAGUGGGAUGGGACACACUCUGUAUUGGUAGUCAGUAUUUCUAACUCUAGUGCACUGAUACAGUCUCAUUCAUAAAGAAACACUAUGCCCCUUGAUAGGCUACAUAGAAUAACACCCAACAGAACAUACAGAACAACAACUACUGAUAAUAACUAUUCUAUAAAGAUGAUCAGGGAUUCAUAGUAUUAUUAUUACUCUUACUUAAUGAGCUUAUCAUUGCUAUCAUACUGAUUUUUAAAAAAUAUAUAUAUAAUUAACUUAAUUUCUAAGUAUUUAUUGCACACCCACAGUGAGGUGACAUAAGAUUAUGUAAUACAAUUAGGUGCAAGCUCUGAGAGUUUAAAAUGGUUUUCUAAUGCACGAGUCCACAACACUGUCAUGUAUGUGCCAGAUAUGUUUUCUGUCCUGCUAUUUCAGCUCAGUUACACGAUAUGCAAAAGCCUCUCCGCAGCUAUUCUGAUUCAGGUUUUCUCUUUUUUAAAUUAAAAUUUUUUUUUUUUACUUAAAGCCUUUUUACUUGAGUCACCAAAGAAAUCAAUGUUCAAAGCUAUAUGCAGAGGGUGAAGUAAUGCGUGGGAGUUCUUAGGGAUGGGUGGGUGUGUUGGAGGGAGGGAUGCAGGUGCUGAUCUGGCAUCUACGUGAUCACCCUUCUGUACGUUGUUGGUUACUAAUAAAAAGUAAUGUUGAAUAAAUUAAUGACAUUAAGUUAAUAAACUUAUUUAUAAAAUUUAAGUUGUCAUUGUGGUAAUUGUUGUACAGCCUCUUUGCCAUUGUGUUUAUCUGAGUUUGGUCCUCACCAGGGC